GUGGGGAAUAUUGGACAAUGGGCGCAAGCCUGAUCCAGCCAUGCCGCGUGUGUGAAGAAGGCCUUCGGGUUGUAAAGCACUUUCAGCGAGGAGGAAGGGGUAGUAGUUAAUAGCUGCUACUUUUGACGUUACUCGCAGAAGAAGCACCGGCUAACUCUGUGCCAGCAGCCGCGGUAAUACAGAGGGUGCAAGCGUUAAUCGGAAUUACUGGGCGUAAAGCGCACGUAGGCGGUUGGUUAAGUUGGAUGUGAAAGCCCCGGGCUCAACCUGGGAAUUGCAUUCAAAACUGGCCAACUAGAAUACGGGAGAGGGGGGUAGAAUUCCAAGUGUAGCGGUGAAAUGCGUAGAGAUUUGGAGGAAUACCAGUGGCGAAGGCGGCCCCCUGGCCCGAUAUUGACGCUGAGGUGCGAAAGCGUGGGGAGCAAACAGG
rnacentral:rRNA from 1 species